rnacentral:lncRNA from 1 species
CCGCAUAGUCCGAUUUCUUCCAUAUCACCGACAAGACCCCUCGCCUAAAAUCAUUGAUGGUGCAGGGAGAACCAACCUCGGUCAUUACUUUCAAACAACACUCAACUCUUUCAGAAGAAAACCCAACUAAAUUGCCCCAAUUUCAUCCAUCAAAACUCCAACUCGAAAUUAGCCAAAUGUUCUGCAAUAUAUGCAAAGUUCCGUCUCUACUCUAUUUAUUUCUACGAUUAUAAGGUAAAGCUCGCAGUUUGUUUCUGAAUUUAUUUCAUAUUUCGUACACCUUCUUCUUUUGAUUUUUUCACUUCGUCUUUCUGUAACUCUAUUUGAAACGAGUAUUUAUUCUUUUUAUCUUAUCUGUUUGUUUCAAUAGUGUGCUGGAUUUAGGGGAAACUGUGUAAGGCUCAUUUAAUUAUUGAAUUUUUUUUCUCGUGAAACUAUAUAAUGUCGUUAUAAUUUCUGUCUUGAGUCAGACAAUAGCAUUAUACUUAGCUACUUUUUCUAUUAUUGCUGCAGUAGCUUAUGGAUUAUUUAUAUGCCUAAAGAAAUUGAUUUCAAGGUAGAGAUGUAUUUAGUUUGUAAUAUGCUUGAAGGUUUGUUGUAUCUCUUAAGUCGCAAUGCUAUCAUCUGUAGGGGCAAUUGAUUCGUCAUAUUUGCUUGAGGCUUGAGCAAAUAGAGGUCUAUAUUUAUGAGGUUAAAGAGGAAGCUUUUAGUUGGAGAUGUAUUCAGUUGGUUGUAUGGGGCGAGGAGUCUUGACGGUAGUAGGAUAGGGUUUGACAUUAGAUUCUAUUUUUUGGGCAUUCAUAAUACAUUCAUGUAUGCUUUGCACCAUAGUAUUUUCUAAUAUGUUCCAUUAUUGCUCUCUAUAUUUUAUUUUUAUAUGUCAAAUGAAAAUAGUUUUCUCAUUCAUUGUCCUUUGCUUAGUUUUGGGGGUAUUAUUGCAUCUCCAGUCACUUCUCCUCAAUAUAGUAAGCAAAGUGUGUGGUAUAUCACUUACACAUAUGUAGUCUCUCUGUUAGCUUGUUUGGUUUCUCAUGUAACCUAGAAUUUUUAAUAUCAUUAAGCAUAUCUUCCUUUUUCUAUAAUAUGGUUGGGAUUUAUAAUAGCACUUGAGGGCGGGGUGGGGGGGNNNNNNNNNNNNNNNNNNNNNNNNNNNNNNNNNNNNNNNNNNNNNNNNNNNNNNNNNNNNNNNNNNNNNNNNNNNNNNNNNNNNNNNNNNNNNNNNNNNNNNNNNNNNNNNNNNNNNNNNNNNNNNNNNNNNNNNNNNNNNNNNNNNNNNNNNNNNNNNNNNNNNNNNNNNNNNNNNNNNNNNNNNNNNGGGGGGGGGGUAUUCUUUUGUUAUUUAUGGAGAUCAUCCAAAAAACUAAAAGAAAAUAUUAACUUUAGAGGUCAUAAUAUAUCUGCAUGUUGUUUAAUUCUAUCAACUCUUCAAUGAUGUUUUUUCCUCUUUUUUUUUUUAAAAUCUCUUUUCACUUUCAUUUGCCUAAUUACAAGAAAAAAUUCUUAGGAGAUUAACUGAGCAUGUACUUAUAAGUUCACUCUUCCUCCCCCAACAUCAAACCCUUCUCUCACUCUCAAUUAAGGUGGUGUACAGGCCAGGGUAACCGUCUAUUCUACCCUACUUUUAUAUGUAUCAAGUAAUUCUGCCCACUAUUCUAUUACUUACAAGUGACGUUGUUUUGCUAUAGGUGAUGGAAUAGAUAGAGCAUCAUUCAGGUUUGGACCGACUUAUUGUGGUUGAUAAGGCCAAGCAACAUUUAUCUCGUUACCUCUCUUUUUGCUAUAGGUGGUGAAUAGAUGGAAUGUCAUUCAGGCUUACAAACUUUCGUGGGUAGACCGCAAAGGUAAAUGCCAGGCAACAACUUCUCGCUACAUGUUCUUGGGGGCAAUGGCUCGAGGUAUGUUCAGCCUUUUAUUUGUCAGUAUAUAGAUUUUCCAUCUGUAAUCUGUUUUGAUUGCUGCAAAUGAGAUUCUUUCGCUAAUGCUCAACCAUUAAAGAUGUUGUCGCUCUCAAAUGAUUGGGCCCUCUCCGUUUCUCUCAUUUUUCUUGCAUUGUUCCACCACACAUAUUGAAAGAAGAACCUGAGACCGAUGUUCCACCACAGCUGCUUGGAUCACCUUCGGAAAGGUAAUUUCCCUUUGUCUUUGUAGCUCCAUAUGGGCAUAAGGUUCAACCCUUCCAGGAAUAUGAAGAGCUUGUCUUUGUCCCACAUGUCGUGUAUGCUUAGCAUGAGCAUGAGCAUGUAUAAUUCCCGCACAUAGUCCCGCACUGAUUUGGUCUGGCGGAGCUCCCAUAGAUUUCUCCUUGCAUUGUAUUCAACAUUUCCGGGGAAAAACUGUAGGUGUAUGGCUGCCUUCAGUUCUGCCCAUGUCUCGAGAGCAUCUUCACCGGCCCUGAUGGCUUCAUAUUUCACCCGCCACUAGAGUUUAGCAUCACCCUUAAGAUACAAGGAAGCAGUUGUUACCUUCUUAGCUUCUUCUAGGCCCCCAAUAGCAUCGAAAUACUAUUCAACGUUAAAGAUGAAGUUCUCCACUUCCUUGGCAUUCCUAGCUCCACUGUAUGGAUUUGGCUCAAGAAUUUUUAGUUUUUUGUCGCGGAAGCGAGGUUUGCAACGCCCCCGAUUUUGUGUCCACCGCCUCAAAGUAGGCUCUAUAAAGUAGCAUUGACAACGUUGAGCUUGCCUGUCAAGUCAUCAAUGGUUUGUUGCAUGGCAUUCACCCUGUCUGCCACUUGUGCCCUGUAAGCUAAAUCCUCGGCACGCUUCUGUUGGAGUCCCUCAAAUUUGCCAAAAAAUUUGGAUGCCUCUAUGGCUACCGUUUGCCGGUCUCCCUUGGAGUCAUGAGUGAUGUUUUCUAUGUCAACUUUGCCCUGGAUCACCCUAUGGUCCAGGUCGUCCAACCUUUGCCCUAGGCUGGUUCUUAGUUCAGGAACUAUAUCCACAAUGGGCCGUAAUCCAUCAAGCAUUUGUUCAAGGACCGCAAUACGGUCCCUAUGAUUCACCAUGGUCAGAAAUGGUGGUAAUAGCAAUGCGUUCCCUCGUCCGAUGUCGAGCCUAGGAUCUGAUACCAACUGUUACGCGGCACCGUCCUGAGAUUCCUUGGAAGCGCGACGUAUGCUAAGCAACUGAUGUCAGUGCAGUUACCGUCUGCCAACUGAGGUCCCCCUGUAUGCUAGACUAGAUUGUCAAUGCCGUACAGGAAAACCAAUGUCAAGAGCAAUUGAGAGAACAAAAAUGAGAAUUGAGAAUGAAAGAAAGCUUGAUUGCAUUAUUGAAAGCUAUUACGGAAAAGCAACACGGUGCCGAGGGGGAGCACACCAGUAUAGAGAAUUGUUUGCUUGCUAGAAAGUUUGAUUGCAUGAUCCCCCUAAUAGUGCUUAAAAAAUAAUCCAAAGCUACAAGACUAGCCUUGACUAUGCUAGAGAAACAUAAUGGAAGUACAUGAAAUAAAACUACUCUAUAUUUGCAAUGAAAAGGAUUUAGUUUUAUAUAAAGCAGAAACAGGUCUAUUGUCAGCAGCAAUGUGUUUGGCAUCAUGGUCGGCGCGUACUACGCUAUUGGCAUCUGCCUGCGGCUGGGCGCUGGUGAGGGUUAUCUGUGGGGCGACAGAGGCAUCUACGUGCUUGUCACCUAGCGUAGCCAAGAUCACAGGGCCGUCAGUGGCGCUAGGCAUUGGGAGGCUUACUAGGACGCCACGGGGGCGAGAGAGGCACCAAUGUUUUAUUUUAGUAGCAAACACCAUGAUUUUAGUUUUCUAGAUUUUCUUUCUUCCUCCCCAGAUUUCUGUUCUUCCUCUUCUUGUUUCUACGUGUAUCUAUGAGUGUGUAUAUUUUGAUGCAUGGGAAUAUUUUGGGGGNNNNNNNNNNNNNNNNNNNNNNNNNNNNNNNNNNNNNNNNNNNNNNNNNNNNNNNNNNNNNNNNNNNNNNNNNNGGGGGGGGUGGUGGGUGGGUGGGGAGGAAGUGUGCUGCAACUUGGUUGAAACAACGAUGGGUUUGGAAAAUGGGAGUUUUAUUUGUGGAAAAGUUAGGGACGAUAGAGAGGUCUUCUAGGCUAGGGAUCAGGUUUUUUCUAUAAUAUAAAGGGGGUUUUUCUUAUAGGAUUAGCUGGGAUGGGGUUAAUGGGUUAAGAGAUCCGAAAAUAGGCCUAAAAAAUAGAUUGUUUAAGCCCAAAUUCCAUUCUUUCUCACUGAACAAGACUAAAAAUACUCCCAUAUAUAUUAAUUAAUCCUACUUAAGUAUAAUAACUACUAAAAUAAAACUAAGCGUUAAAUUAAUUCUAUUUUGGUAUUUUUCAAAUAUCAUACUAAAAAAAUAAAAAAAGGAUUAGAUUAGAUCAUUGAAAAAUUAAAAUAAUAUUCCUACCAAAAAUACUAAUAUUCUUGAAAAUAAAGUGGAACUAUUUUUAUAGGUUCGAAUAUAUGUAAGGUUGAUAAACUAAGACUAAAUAGAUUAAAUAUCAAUUAACUAAAUAAAAGAAAAUAUUUUCGUGAUUUUUAUUUUUGAAAUAAAAUAAAGUAAAAGAGUCAAAACUAGUUAAAAUAUCGUUAUUAGACCUAACUCUAUAUUUAAAUGCUAAAAUGUGUAAAAUUUCAAGAGGGUAAAAAAUUAUAUGUCUAUAGAGGGCUUCCCUUCGAACUUGCCAACUUGCAUGCUCCACCAUACUUUUAGCCUGUGCCUGAAUCGCCUUGGCGUCAACCUUGAACUGGGUCACUCUAGCAUCAGCCUCGAUCUUGGCCACAAACACCUUUGAUUUGGUUGCCUCGAGUUCCUUGACCAGAUUCUCUUGACCAGAAAUAGCUAAGUUUAGUUGAGAUUGGAUCUCCUCGAUCUUAUUUUCCUGCACCAAGGUUUUCUCUUUUGUAGCCCGUAGCUGGGACUUGGCCAACAGCCAGUUGUGCUUGGACAACUUCCUUUUUCGAGGCUAAGAUAUCCACAUUUUUCUUGAACUCCUCAGCCUCAGCUUGUAUCGUGUUUACCUGCGCUUAGAGCUACCCGAUUUGUACAAGCCUCUAUCAGACAUGCAUGAUAGAUUCGUUAGCCACUGUGGCCAAUUUGUCGUCACAAUCUUGAAAUACUCGAUUUACUUGCUCUUCCAUCUCGGCAUGCUCCCUCCGAGCUGCAUCUAACUUGGCCUGAAGCUUCUUAUCGAGAAACUUGCAGGUGUCCCUUUUCUUAGUAAACUACCAAACCUCAGCCUUGUGUUAUGUUAACUCCAACCGGUAUCAGCGGAAAGAUGCAGUACCGAGGCCUGAAAGCAUAAAGGAAGGUGUUGUGUUUAUUUACAACUUCAAAUUUAAAAUACAAAAUAAAAAAGACACUCGGAGUUACCCGAUUCAGCACAUGUUGAGCUACAUUGAAUACGUAGGGCAUUUCCACCUUUUCCAUCAUGGCCUAGUCCUCUUCGGUCACAAAACACCGAAGAUAGCUGGCAACCCCUACGGAGGCAGAGAAAACCCGACCGUUUUCUAGGAUAGAGAAAACUGUUGAUCUCUUUUGGUCAGGGUCAACACUCGGGAUCGGGAACUGGUCCAAUAACUUUGGGCUCGAGGAAGACCCACUGGCUCCUAGUGAUGGUACCUUCUUUAGCACCGGUAAGUCUUCGAGCCCAGUGACAUCUUCUGAGGCACAAGACUCUAACCCAUCUAAGAAGUUAUGGAUAUAUGUAGCCCUAUGAGGCCCCUUGUAAGAACGACCUUCUAGCAUAGCGGUCUCAUGGAUCAAGGCAUCUGAGAAAUGUUGAGGCCUAAUAAUGUGAAUCACCUCAAGCACAUAUUUCAAGGCAUUUUCCCUUGCUCGAGAAGCAUCAUCCUCGAUUUCCUUUUCGACUCAUCUAGCUCGAGGCGAACUGGCAUCACCCCCCUCGGGUUCAGGAGCUUCGACUAAAGUGCUUCUACCGACCUCCUCAAGUCGAGGCGAUUCAAUUUCAACAACCUCCGAUUCGGAGGCCUCUCGUAUCAAGACACCUGCCCGCACGCAGGCCACCAACUUGGAUUUAUCUUCUGUUUCUUCGGACUCAUUCCUUAGCCGGUGGAUUGAGUUCGAGGAUAGAGCACUGGUGCUUCCCUUGGGUUUACUCACUCCUUUUCAGAUUUUUCUUUUUCGAGUUUGGAGAACUCGAGGCCCUUUUUCAUUUCUUCUCGUCACCCUGCCUCGAGCGAGGGACUCGAGAGACAUAUCCCCAUCACUGGAUGGAGGCCUCAAAGCAACAUCUUUGGUGAGACCUAUAAAAGGAAACAGAAUCGAUAAGAAUUUGAUAGCGUAAGAAGAAUAUCAAACAUUAUUUCAGUAAAGAAAACUUACCUUGAUUACGGGCUUCCCACCGGAACUUCGACAAUUUGCGCCAUGUGCGUGGAAUAUGGUAUUUGUGACACAAGAUUCUCGACCCACUCCUUGAGUCGAGGAACUGCAUCCGGCAUUUAAGCCACAACAACACCUUAAAAUACCGAUAUGAUGGAGGGAAUAGGAUAAAUAAUAUAUAUAAUCUUUAAGGCAACGUUAUACUUACACUUCAUGUUUCAUUUCUCAUGAAAUGGUAUGUCAUCGGUAGGGAUCAAGUCCGAGGUCUUCACUCCCUUUUACUUUACUUCUCGUCACCCUGCCUCAGAGUAGGGGACUCGAGAGGCACAUCUCCAUCACCGGAUGGAGGCCUCAUAGCAACAUCUUUGGUGAGACCUAUAAAAGGAAACAUAAUUGAUAAGAAUUUGACAACGCAAGGAGAAAAUCAAACAUUAUUUCAGUAAAGGGACCCAACGUGAAGGGGAAAGUGUAAACACUUAAAAAACCCUUCACGUGGAUAGUAAAUGAUUCCUCAGGCAAGGGCACCACCACGUGUUUAUCGGCACAACUACAAUCCUCUUUGACCUUGGAGAGGAGAUCAUUGAUGAUCGUACAUAUAUAUAUCUCGAGACCGCCUCGCAUAGACUUGGUAUCACGAAAGUUUUUUCGAUCUUCAAAUAAGUAUGGAUCGGGCACCCUCUUAGAACGAACUCUUCAGGGUGUGGCUCCACUGCAAUCCCAUUGCCGAUAGGUCGUGAUGAAGAGGCUGUUUCUUUAUAUGGAAUAGUCUUAGAAGUUUUCGUCAUUUUAAAGCAGAGAUGAAGAAAAGGAAAUUAAGAAGGUACGCUUAGUAGUUGAAAAAAGGUCCAAGAAAUCUAGGUACAGAAGUUGGUGAAUGAAGAGAUUCUUAAAGGACAAGAGUAGAAGAAGCUUUUGAACAUAAAGUUUGAAUGAAUGAAACUUGGGACAUUUAUAGUUUGCUAAUGACGGUUCAAAACCAGUAGUGACUGACCAACACUGACACACAUUUAAUGCCUUGGAGACUGAACCGACGGGACAUUCCAGUUACCUUUUGUUGCUUACAUCAUGAUCUGUCAAAGCGAGGUUCGAAAGUUCUUAUCAUUUCUCGGCAUCUCCUCUCCAAAAAUCAAGAGGAUUAUCUGUCACACCCUUUUUUUAGCAACCUCACUAAACAUCUUAAAAUAAAUAAAGAUUUUUAAAGCUCAAAAAGGGUUUUUAAUUAAAAGUGACAAAAUUGUGCUCAAAAGGGUUUUUAGAGUCGCCACCUGACAUUGGUUUCAAUGUGCCAGGUCAUCAUUUUUCAAAAAAUGAUUUUCCUUUUAAAACACUUUGAACUCCAAAACUAAGUCUACACCAGAGAUUUCGGUAAGGGGAUUUAUUCGACUCGGGGAGAAGGUGUUAGGCACUCCUCAAGUCACGUAAAAGUCACAGUUGCGUACUCGAUCUUGUUGGGCUUUAAAAUAUUCAAAUUGAGGUAAAAGUAAACACAAAAAAGAAAAAUAAGCAAGAGGCUCGAGGUCGUCCUCAACUAAUAAAAGAAAAAAAGAAAAAAAUAAGAAUACCGUUCUAUACUUCCUCAAAGUGUUCCAUUGUUGGCCUUCAAAUACAAAUUACUUCGGGGCAUGCCCCGAAUAAAAAUGUAUACAAACUUCGCAGGGCAUUCCCCGAAUAAUAAACUAAAAGAAAUGACCUCUUGCCUCAAUUAAACUAGAACCAAACGCCCUAAAUGUUUUCCUAUCUAAGUGAAUCGGCCUAAGCAUGUUCCUAGUGGUAUGUAAGAAAAGUAAAGCAACUGAAUUAUUUUUAAAACCAGUUUUUGUUAGUUAUCUUAUAAUAUCCAAUUUUGACCCCAAAUUCACUAUUCUCAAAAUCUCAAUUCUCGUUUUCCAAUUUAAACUAUAUUAAACAUGGUCCAUUAAUUCAAUGGCUCACAUUUUAAUUAGUAGGCUUUCAACAAAAUUUCAAUCACGAAAUCAUGGAUCCAAACACUGGAAAACAUGGAUUAAGCUCGGAAUUAUCCAUAAAUCGAAUACAAACUAUAACAAACAAGCAAGAACAAUCACUUUCUGGAUAAGCUUUCCAAUUUAAACUAUAGUAAACAUGGUCCAUUAAUUCAAAAGCUCACGUUUUAAUUAGCAGACUUUCAACAAAAUUUCAAACACGAAAUGAUCUAUCCGAAUACUGGAAAACAUGGAUUAAGCUCGAAAAUAUCCAUAAAUCAAAUACAAACUAUAACAAACAAGCAAGAACAAUCACUUUCUGGAUAAGCAAAUUUCACAGAAUCAAUCAGUUGUCCAUACAAUUUAACCACAGAAAUCUAAUCGCCUUUGAAUGAUUCUUUAAAACUCAAUCCAUAGUAAGGAAAGAAAUAGGAGAAAAGAGAUGAAUAGAAUCUGUUGAUUUAAGAUUUCCUUCAACGUUUGAGAGUCAAUAGAUACAAAUGCCAAGUCCAAAUUUCAGACAGAAUCGAGCAAGAAUGGCGAACCUAGACGGGGAUCGCGAGUUCAGCAAAUAGCGAACGGACCUCGACUAGCGAACUCAGCUUUGAACUCUAACACUUCACAUAAUAUCCAUUACUUUGAAACUAAAAUCGAUUGAGGAAAGAAACUGAAAAUACCUUUGUAAUUUUUUUUGCUUCAGAACUACUUUUGCAACCUCUUGUUGCUGCUCAUUCACACUAAUGCUGCUUCUUUAGGGUGGGAUGGUUGUUUUUUGGUAAAGAAGGCCGCCUGCGUGAAGCGAUAGGUGUGGUGGGCGGCAGUUAUGGAGAUUGGGAGGUUAUUUAGUGUGAGGGUUAGAAGCUUGACGGUCGCGGCGACGAUUUUUGUGGGCGGCUGAAGAUUGAAGAUGAAGAAGCAGGGGUCGUUCGUUUGGUGGGGUGUUUUCCGCUCGGCGUUGCUGUUCUAGUAGCUGGUAGAGGGCCGUCAGGGUCUCUAGGUUAGAGGUGGGGCAGUUGAAGUUUUUUGGAGUAAGGGAGGUGGGUCGCUGUUGCUUGGCGGUGGUACAUCAGAGGAAAUGGAGGAGUGUGGUGGUGUGUUGUUGGUGGUUGCUGGAUUUCCUGGCUAAACUCGCCGUAGGAGGGUGUCAGCAGAUUUUUGGAGAAGAAGAUGGGUCAGGUCAAUUAGGGUUCAGCUAGGGUUUGUAGUGAAAUGCAGAUUAAAAGGGAAGAUGGGUCUUGGAUCUUGGGCUUCAUAUUUGGGUCUUAAAUUGGACUAAAGGAAAAAUGUCCAAACCUUAUUUAAGUUCCUUUUAAUAUAAGAUAAAUAUACAAAAAUUAAUCUAAUUAAUUAAACUAAAUUAUAUAAAAAAAAUGAAAUUAUUUUUGUUAUUUUCAGAGGUUAUAUUAAAAUAAAAUAGGUUAAAAGUAAUAUAUCCUUCAAAAAAAUCUAAUAUGUGAAUUAAAUAGAGAAAUAUGAAGCUAUUUUUGUAAUUUUCAAUUUUUAUUCUUAAAAUAAAGUUAAAGAGUGAGAACUAGUUAAAAUAACGAUACUAGACAUAGACUAAAUAUUUAAAAAAAUUACAGGUCUACAGCUGCCCUUCUUUGACUGGAAACACGAAGAGUCUUUCGUCAAAAAAUGACAAGACAAGUUUUUUGACCCUACCCUUAUUUAGAAAGACAAAAUAAAGCGGAAUGUGACCGAGCCCUAGUAUCUGAGCUGCCUACAUAUCCUUGUCUAUGAAGGAGUCGAGCCACGUGUAGUUUGGAACUGAAUGAGAUGAUGGAGUAUAUUGAGGUGGAGAGUCGGUCGAGGUGUCGUUCUGGUGAGGUUCCGGUGCGCGGUCCUGUUAUUACAUCAAAAUCAAAAAAUGAAAAAGAUUAACUAAGUCUGUCAACUAUGAGUUACAAGAUUUAUAUCUAUGAGUCUUUUGAAGCUGGAUCUUGAGUCUUGAAUGGUUCUUUAUGCAGACUUUAGAAUUAAACCUUAAUGCUUGCUAGUUGCAGGUGCUAGUUCAUUCUUCUUCAGCUUUUCGGAUCAAAAUCGGACACACCAUGCUUGUGACUUUAGUCAUGUCUUGAGAAGUCCACCUCUUGUCUCAGCUUUGCAUUUGCCAAUCCCUAUCUCGAAGAUACAAGCGAAGCGACCAACCCUCUUCUCUUGUCUUGCCUCGAAGUGUAGUGUGGUGAGGUUUUGCCUCACAGAAGGAGUGGAAAAUUGUGGAAAAAGCCGAAAGCGUGUACCUCUCUUGAUUGAACGUAUGACCUAGCAGGAGAGGCGCGAGCCCUUACUAUACUUUAUCCCGUAGGGCAUGGUAUGGAAUAGACCUCACCGUGGUUGGUCAGCAUCUGUGGAUCGUCUUCUCUCAGUUCGAUGGCUUCAUUACAAAAAGUAGCUAAGUAGCUCCGACAGUUUUCUUUCCCUUCAAUCCCUCCUUACUAAGCACAAUCAACAGUUCAAUUCACGAUUUCUAACCUUAUACAGAAGGUUUUUCCGUACCAGCUCCUUCUAUCUAUACUGCAGUUGGAGCACCUAAAGGAGAAUUUGGUGUCUUUCUGGUCAGUAAUGGAAGCAAUCGUCCCUACUGUCGUAAAAGAAGAGAACUUGGCUUUGCCCAUUCACAAGGACUCGAUUCUAUGUCCAAACAUCACAUGCCAGUAGAUGUGGUCACCUUAUAGGCACUCAAGAUCUUGUGUCUAGAGAGGUGGAUAGAUAGGAAUACUAUCACUCCUUCUACUCUAAACUACUGUGUGCUUAUUUUUCGCUUUUCACAGUCAAAGUCAAAGGUUCGUUAUUGGCAAGAUCGGUAUUCCUUCUAGUUGUAAUUGACUUUAAGCGCACCUGAACUACCCAUAGUCAUCUAUUUAUGAGCUUGCACUCAAUAGUCAAUCAAUUUGCUUUUCCGCUUUCUAUCGCACACUUCAACUAUUUGUUUAUAUUGUGUGUGAUUCACUUCCCUUUUUUUUUUCUUUUUUAUUAUGUAUUGAGAUUACUUCUGUUGAUCAUCUCGGACUGUUAACUUGCAUUCUUACCACGAGCUUCUGCUACUUCUAACUUGAAUUGGAUUCUGAAAUGACUUUAUUUGUUCUCCAGGUAGGCGGCUGAUUGCUAAAACUUGAACUUUAUUCCCUCGUUCUCCAUGUGGGUGCCUGAUUGCUAAAAGUUGAACUGUAUUCCCUUGUUUUUCAGGUGGACGCCUGAUUACCAAAACAUAAAUUAUAUUCCCUUGAUAUCUAGGUGGGUGCCUGAUGCAGAAACUUGAAAUGUAUUCUCUUGUAAUUCAGGUAGGCGCCUGAUUGCCAAAAAUUGAACUGGGUUCCCUUGUUCUCCAGGUGGGCACUUGAUUAUCAAAACUUGAACUGUAUUCUCUUGUUUUCUAGGUGGGAACCUGAUGUCAAAACUUGAACUGUACUCCCUUAUUUUUCAGGUGGACGCCCGAUGCUUCAACUUCAAAUGUAUUUUCUUGUUCUCUAGGUGGGUGCCCGUGAUCACAACAACAAAACAAACAAAAUUUUCUGCCCCAGUUUGCACUAGGAAGAUUUGUGAGUUGUUAGCAAAACUGUAAAUCACAUAUGCUAUUGAUGCAAUAAUGAGAGUAAAACUAAAGACUUGACUAGGAUGUAUGUAGGAUGUAUGUCUCCUAUGAGUAAAUCAAGAAUAUUUUACUAGCAAGUGCAUUUGCUAAGAAUAAAACCUAAAAAACUAAAAAUUGACCUUUUUUUUUUCAAAUCCAGUCUUCCUACUUCUUUUAUUUCCUUUUAAAAAAAAAUAUUAUCCUAGGAGAAAAUUCAUCAGACUAGGUAUUAUUAGGAGAAAGAUUUAUCAGACUAAAAUUUCGAUCGUAGGAGAAAAUUCAUCAGGUUCUAUUCUUUUUUGUUAUCAUAGGAGAAAGAUUCAUCGUACUAAGAUUUCUAUACUAUGAGAAAAUUCAAAAAUAAAUAAUACAUUCAUUAAUUAGUGAUGUAUGUCUUUAGGAGGAUAAUUUAGUUGGCUAGAAAUAGAAGUUCCAUUUCAUUCUUAAAGCCCUACGGUAACCUGCAUUACUUCUCAAUUAACUAGGUGAAAACAAAUUGGAAAAAAUGCAUAAGUAUCCCCUGAUCUAUAGUCGGAUUCAUCAGACUAAAAUUUUGAUCCUAGGAGAAAGUUCAUCAGACUAGGUCUUCUAUCUUAGAGUCUGAUUUUAGUCCUAGGAGAAAAUUCAUCAGACUAGGUUUCUUAUAUUAGGAGAAAGAUUCAUCAGACUAGGUUUUCUAUCUUAGGAGAAAAAUUCAUCAGACUAAGACGUUUAUCCUGGGAGAAAAUUCAUCAACCUAAGAUUUGAUAUUCUAGGAGGAAAAAUGUGAAGAGCAAUGGCAACAUUUUGUGCAUACUAGCAAGACAAAUAAAGGCAAAGAUUUGAGAAACUUCCUUUUGUCGGCUCUUCUCUUCUUCUAUUUUAUCCUUCCCUUUUUUUUGUUUUGUUUUGUUUUUGAACCAUCUUGAUUGCACUUCUUUGUUCUAUUUCAAACAAAGAAAACUUAUGAGAUUAAAAUGUGGUGGUUAGUUUGUGGCCUUGACUACGAGGGCGAUUUCUCUUGCACUUGUCACAAUCAACAUUGACUUCAACUUGGAAAAUAGUGCUUGUUAUCGAGUGCUUUUCGGAAAAUCCUUAUCAUAAGAAAUAUUCCAGAUACCUUAUGCCAGAUGUGAGCACGUGAUUUUUGUCUCGCUCGAAAUGUUCCUAUAAAAUUCGUUAAAUUUGGAGUUUUCUUUUAUUAUUUGAAUUUUUGGAAUUGACUGCUUGACUUUUGUGUUUAUUAGUAUUUUUCCUUUUUAUUAUUUAAAUUUUUUAGAAUUUAUUGCAUAAUUUUGUGUUUAUUUACAUGUUGUACGUUUUAAUUAAUAUAAUUCAUUUGCAUUUAGGAAUUAAUUGUUACAUUUGUUUGGGUCAUUAGUUAAUUAAUAUUGGAAAUAAGAAAAGUAACAAAAAAGGGGUUAUUCUUACAUUGUUCAAUUUUCUUUUGAAAUUUAUAAUUUAGGAUUUUAUUUAGUCUAGUUUGUAGAAGAUAAAUAUGCUUUGUCUUAUUUGUUUUUUAUUAUUACAAACUUGAAAAAAUAAACAAAAAUAUAAAAAGAUAAUAAAUACAUAAAUAUGUGGUCUUUGUUAAAGACCAUAAUUUGGGCAACUUUUAGUUACAAACUUGGCCCAAAAAACCACCUGACCGAUUAAAUUUGACCCAAACCAAACGUCCCCUGCCCGGUCCAAAAGCACCAGGCCUAAAAUGAUGUCGUUUUACGUCGAAGGAAUCUAAGCCGUUGAUCAAUCUUGAUCGAACGGUCAAAAUGCGGGGGGUGUUACACUAUAUAAGUGUCGUAUAACACCCCCUACCAGAAGACAUCGUACCAUGUCCAAAAUAACCUUCCUCCGGUGUAACACUACCAUGCCUCCACCGUAUCCCCACCGCCCGCCGCCGGCCGGAAAUUGCCGGCGGCGUAACCCCAAAUUCGUCCAAAUUAACACCCUAUGCUCCCCGCCUUCUCCUCUUUCCAAACCCCUAAAAUCACCCCUCAAAACCCAGCCAAACUCAUCGAAUCUUCUUCCAAAAUAGCGGCUGCUCCGCCAUCGACGGCGGCGCCAGCUCCAAUGGCUUUCAAAUUAACACCCCACACUCCCUUUGGCCUCCCCUACCCAAAAAAAUCCCGGUUUCCUUCGAACAACCCCCAAGCUCUUCGAAUUCUAAAUCUGAGAUUUGACCUAAUUCUGAGACGAUUUGUUUUAGAGUCCUUGAGUUUCAGAAUGUAGUUGCAUGUUUGCUUUGACCAAAAACAAACAUGUAACUCCAUUUGGAGAUUCAAAUUGAUUCCAGUCAAGCCUAGUGGAGGACUCAACUAGUAAGUUCACUUUUAAUUUGAUUGUUUUCAUCUUUAUUCUAUUUUUGGUUUUUUUUUUGGUCUAGUAAUUAGGUAUUGCCUUAUUUCUGAUUUUAACUUACAUUGAGAGUGUCAUCCUACUUGAUUCUUCAUUUUGUUUAUAGUGCUAUAUUCCUCAUUAGGUUAGUUUAUUUUUGCAAACGAUCUUGAUUAUUACACUGCUACUUGAUUUUCUUUUAUUUAGUUUAACUAGAAAUUUCGCAUGUGUUUAGUUAUGAAAGCACUGCAUAAUUUGUCUCUCUUUUUUAGCUUGGAUUCUAUUUAGGGUUCUAAUCGGGGUUUUUAUGGUCUGAUUUGGUUUUUCUACUGGUAUGAAUUAGAUUUAGAUUUCACGAUAGGACUGCAUGUUGGUGUAGCUGUGCAUGUUUCUUGUGAAUGUCUUAAUUUCAGUCUUUUACUUGAAUCCACGUUAGCUUGUAGUAGUGAUUGGCUAAUGAGUCAUUAGUCUCAUAAUUUCAAUUCAAUUUUCUAAUUAGUGGUUCAGGUUUGGUCAUGUUUUUGUUAUAGCUGUUAGUUAGCAUUAAUUAGUUUAAGACUUAGCUUUGUAAAAUGGUAAUUCUAGUAUGUUAAGAGGGUAAUAUAGGGUUUUAGAUUAGUUCUGGUAAUUAUAAGAAUAAAAUAAGGGCACUAUAGAUAGUCUAUAAGUAGAAAACAAUGCUAGAAUCUUUUAGACUCUUCUAGAAGGGGACUUUAGUCUAAAAAUCAGUAGUUUAAUGCAGUAACUUGGGAAACAAGUCAGAAAAUAAAGGAACAAGUAGGUAAAAUCUUAAUAUUAAAAAACGGAAUAGUAGUUAAAAUAAAAUAAAAGGGGUUGCACUAGCCUUUGACUAUAAAAGGGAAUCCCAAUUCAUUCAAAAGAAGAGAGGGACCAUUCUGAAAAUCCCUAAAAAUUGCAAAUAGUUUGAAGCCUAAAAAGUCUCAAAAAAUCCAGAAAAUUUUCAGGAAAUCCAAAGCUUAUUCAAGUUAUCAAAUCACUGAAAUUUAGUCGUAUAUUUACUGUUCCAUUGAGUCUCUUUCCCUUAGAAAUAAUCCCAACUCUAGCCGUUCAGUAUAAAUUUAGCUCUAUAAGAUGAAAAAUGAACUAAAGAUGCUUAUUUGAGGUGUAAAAGUUGCAGCAUCUGUCCUGGGUUACAUUUUAGUUGGCUGUUCAUUUGAGAUAUUUGAGUGGUUUCGCUGUUUGAUUUUGGGUUUAAAACUUUCCUGGGUGUUUGGUAGUAUUUUUGGGUUCAUCAACUAAUCAUAGGCUGUGGAUUCUUGUGAAUAUGAUGUUGUUUGAGUGUUGCUAACUCUCAGUUUUGUUCUGCAAAAAUUUCAGAUACAUUUUCACUCUCCACUGAUGUGUGAAGUUUUUUACUUGAGUUGAAGAUGUCUAUUAUUUGUUCUUCAUCAGUUUUUAGUACUAUUAUGUUUAUAAUAGUUAAGACAAUGUCUUGUAAAAUUGGACAUUUGAACUGAUUUGCCUUGUAAAUAAUUAUAGGACUGUUUUUGGACUAUUAACAAUUGUUUUGUUUUGAUUCCAUGAUUAAAUACUGAUAGUAGCAUAAUCCUAUUAAGGGUUAGAGUAGUUAUCAGUAUGAUGAAUUUAUAGUUCAAAUAUACUAUUCUUGGUAUGGUGAUAGACUUGUGUUAGUUGAUCAUGAUU